AACCAUCACUUGAAUUCUAUUUGUUAUUCUUAAUAGGAGUUCAGUGACACCAUUUUAAUGAUUUUUCUGUAUUAUUUGGUGCAAGUCUAUAUCUUCAAUCAAUAUAUUCAAAGAGGAAUUACCAUUUACAGUGAAUAUAAGCAGGAAUACAAUGUAGACUAUAUAGGAUGAGUAUUAUUAAAUAAAAACUGCAAUUUUUUAGAGCAAUAUUAUGUUUUGUGUGUUACCAACAGCAAUCUUUAGUAAAUUGGUUGCAAAUAAACCUGAUGAGACUGUUGACUGAUACUUUUAUGAUUAUAUAUGAUGUAAGUGAAGUUUAAUCUAUUGUAUAUAAUGCCUUGUCAUGUCAGAAGCCACUAGAUUUUAAUUGUUAUUAAGCGUCAUAAAUCAAUUUUUUAAUUUUGAUUCUAUUGAAAAAUAUUUUACUGUGACAAAACAAGCAAGUGCUGGUGGAAGACAAUAACUAUUAGCGUUGCAACCAGAGUUGCUUUGUGCUAAGCAACUCUUUACAAUGAUUUACAAGCAUUGAAAAGGGAUCUGCAAAAAAAGUGUGGCAUUCCUAGCCCAGGAUAACUACUUUUUGGCUGGAUUCUAAAGCUCAAUAUAACUAUUUCAAAGGGUCUCCUUAUCUUUAAAGAGCAGUGAUUUCAAGGAUAUUGAACUAUUAUUAUUUUAAUUGUGUAAUUAAAUGAAAUCAGUAUCUCAGUAUAGUGUUGCAUGCAAUAGCACUGAUAAAAAUUAAUCAUAAAAUUUCA